rnacentral:rRNA from 1 species
GAUCCUGGCUCAGAUUGAACGCUGGCGGCAGGCCUAACACAUGCAAGUCGAGCGGUAACAGGGGAAGCUUGCUUCCCGCUGACGAGCGGCGGACGGGUGAGUAAUGUAUGGGGAUCUGCCCGAUAGAGGGGGAUAACCACUGGAAACGGUGGCUAAUACCGCAUAAUCUCUUAGGAGCAAAGCAGGGGAACUUCGGUCCUUGCGCUAUCGGAUGAACCCAUAUGGGAUUAGCUAGUAGGUGGGGUAAUGGCUCACCUAGGCGACGAUCCCUAGCUGGUCUGAGAGGAUGAUCAGCCACACUGGGACUGAGACACGGCCCAGACUCCUACGGGAGGCAGCAGUGGGGAAUAUUGCACAAUGGGCGCAAGCCUGAUGCAGCCAUGCCGCGUGUAUGAAGAAGGCCUUAGGGUUGUAAAGUACUUUCAGUCGGGAGGAAGGCUUGAUGCUAAUAUCAUCACACGAU